GAUGAACGCUGGCGGCGUGCCUAAUACAUGCCAGUCGAGCGAACAGACGAGGAGCUUGCUCCUCUGACGUUAGCGGCGGACGGGUGAGUAACACGUGGAUAACCUACCUAUAAGACUGGGAUAACUUCGGGAAACCGGAGCUAAUACCGGAUAAUAUAUUGAUCCGCAUGGUUCAAUAGUGAAAGACGGUUUUGCUGUCACUUAUAGAUGGAUCCGCGCCGCAUUAGCUAGUUGGUAAGGUAACGGCUUACCAAGGCAACGAUGCGUAGCCGACCUGAGAGGGUGAUCGGCCACACUGGAACUGAGACACGGUCCAGGCUCCUACGGGAGGCAGCAGUAGGGAAUCUUCCGCAAUGGGCGAAAGCCUGACGGAGCAACGCCGCGUGAGUGAUGAAGGUCUUCGGAUCGUAAAACUCUGUUAUUAGGGAAGAACAAAUGUGUAAGUAACUAUGCACGUCUUGACGGUACCUAAUCAGAAAGCCACGGCUAACUACGUG
rnacentral:rRNA from 1 species